AUUGAACGCUGGCGGCAGGCCUAACACAUGCAAGUCGAGCGGGGUUUUCGGACCUAGCGGCGGACGGGUGAGUAAUGCGUAGGAAGCUGCCCGAUAGAGGGGGAUACCAGUUGGAAACGACUGUUAAUACCGCAUAAUGUCUACGGACCAAAGUGUGGGACCUUCGGGCCACAUGCUAUCGGAUGCGCCUACGUGGGAUUAGCUAGUUGGUGAGGUAAUGGCUCACCAAGGCGACGAUCUCUAGCUGGUUUGAGAGGAUGAUCAGCCACACUGGAACUGAGACACGGUCCAGACUCCUACGGGAGGCAGCAGUGGGGAAUAUUGGACAAUGGGCGCAAGCCUGAUCCAGCCAGGCCGCGUGUGUGAAGAAGGCCUUCGGGUUGUAAAGCACUUUCAGCGAGGAGGAAGGGUUAGUCGUUAAUAGCGGCUAAUUUUGACGUUACUCGCAGAAGAAGCACCGGCUAACUCUGUGCCAGCAGCCGCCGUAAUAC
rnacentral:rRNA from 1 species